AGAGUUUGAUCAUGGCUCAGGAUGAACGCCGGCGGCGUGCCUAAUACAUGCAAGUCGAGCGAACGGACGAGAAGCUUGCUUCUCUGAUGUCAGCGGCGGACGGGUGAGUAACACGUGGAUAACCUACCUAUAAGACUGGGAUAACUUCGGGAAACCGGAGCUAAUACCGGAUAAUAUUUUGAACCGCAUGGUUCAAAAGUGAAAGACGGUCUUGCUGUCACUUAUAGAUGGAUCCGCGCUGCAUUAGCUAGUUGGUAAGGUAACGGCUUACCAAGGCAACGAUGCAUAGCCGACCUGAGAGGGUGAUCGGCCACACUGGAACUGAGACACGGUCCAGACUCCUACGGGAGGCAGCAGUAGGGAAUCUUCCGCAAUGGGCGAAAGCCUGACGGAGCAACGCCGCGUGAGUGAUGAAGGUCUCCGGAUCGUAAAACUCUGUUAUUAGGGAAGAACAUAUGUGUAAGUAACUGUGCACAUCUUGACGGUACCUAAUCAGAAAGCCACGGCUAACUACGUGCCAGCAGCCGCGGUAAUACGUAGGUGGCAAGCGUUAUCCGGAAUUAUUGGGCGUAAAGCGCGCGUAGGCGGUUUUUUAAGUCUGAUGUGAAAGCCCACGGCUCAACCGUGGAGGGUCAUUGGAAACUGGAAAACUUGAGUGCAGAAGAGGAAAGUGGAAUUCCAUGUGUAGCGGUGAAAUGCGCAGAGAUAUGGAGGAACACCAGUGGCGAAGGCGACUUUCUGGUCUGUAACUGACGCUGAUGUGCGAAAGCGUGGGGAUCAAACAGGAUUAGAUACCCUGGUAGUCC
rnacentral:rRNA from 1 species